GACGAACGCUGGCGGCGUGCCUAAUACAUGCAAGUUGAGCGCUGAAGGUUGGUACUUGUACCAACUGGAUGAGCAGCGAACGGGUGAGUAACGCGUGGGGAAUCUGCCUUUGAGCGGGGGACAACAUUUGGAAACGAAUGCUAAUACCGCAUAAAAACUUUAAACACAAGUUUUAAGUUUGAAAGAUGCAAUUGCAUCACUCAAAGAUGAUCCCGCGUUGUAUUAGCUAGUUGGUGAGGUAAAGGCUCACCAAGGCGAUGAUACAUAGCCGACCUGAGAGGGUGAUAGGCCACAUUGGGACUGAGACACGGCUCAAACUCCUACGGGAGGCAGCAGUAGGGAAUCUUCGGCAAUGGACGCAAGUCUGACCGAGCAACGCCGCGUGAGUGAAGAAGGUUUUCGGACCGUAAAACUCUGUUGGUAGAGAAGAACGUUGGUGAGAGUGGAAAGCUCAUAAAGUGACGGUAACUACCCAGAAAGGGACGGCUAACUACGUG
rnacentral:rRNA from 1 species